rnacentral:rRNA from 1 species
UACAGGGGGUGCAAACGUUGCUCGGAAUCAUUGGGCGUAAAGCGCACGUAGGCGGUUCGUUAUGUCGGAUGUGAAAGCCCUUGGCUUAACCGAGGAAGUGCAUCCGAAACUGGCGAGCUAGAGUACGAAAGAGGAUCGCGGAAUUCCCGGUGUAGAGGUGAAAUUCGUAGAUAUCGGAAGGAACACCAGUGGCGAAAGCGGCUUCCUGGUCCGACACCGACGUUCAGGCACGAAAGCGUGGGGAGCAAACAGG